rnacentral:lncRNA from 1 species
CGCCGCUGUAAAUUACAAAUUAUUUUGUUAACUUCCUUUCCAGCACAUUUAGGGUGUAUGAUCUUGUGCAUAUUACAGGUAUAGUGUUGUGCACCAAUCUGGUUGAUGUUUACAUAAUCCAAGCAGAUUUACCAAUUAGAAGAGCCAUGUAUUAUUGUAGUUUUCUCUCUACAUCAAGUACACAUAAAUAUAAUGCCGUAGAAUGUAGUUUCUUUUAUUGUUCUGCAGAUCUUCCCCGUGAGGCGCUACAGAUCAGAUGGGCGCUGUCGUGAAGGCCGCGAAGGCGUGGCUGGCGGCAUGGGUUAGCCUGUGGGUGGUACCACCGUGCUGCUCUGGACGUGCAUUGUGGUGCUGCUCGUGGCGGCUUUCGGAGGGAGACAGAGUGGUAUGUGCUUUUCUAAACAUAUAUAUUCCUGAAGAACCUUUUUUGUAGUCCCGAUGAAUUAAGCGAUUUGUUCUCUCAUGUCUCUUCUCCUUCAUUUCUACCUUGAUGCAGCAGGACAUAGAGAAUUUGGGGGCUACUCGGGUUUGGAUCAGCAAGCCAUGUCCGUUUGGUUUGGCAAAGGCCUUUUAUCCUUUUUCUAUAAUGCCAUGAACGUCUCUGAAUUUUUACACUACUUCCAGCCGAUGCUUAAUAUUUUUUCCAACAUAUUUGUGACUGGAGCCCACACAUACAUAGUCAUGGAUAUGAUUUUGUGUUUUGGAUCUUGCUAUUUCACUAAUUUGGAACAUGUAUAUGCAGUUCUAGGCUUCUAGCUAGAUGGAUUAAUAGAUAUGUUGGACCUAUGCAUUUUAUAUUAUCCGCAUGGAUCUAUGUUUAUUAUUUGAUGCUCCUCCUUAUCCUGGGGAAGAACUUUUGCAAAGAGUUUGUCAUUUUUGGAGAUAUGGAUUUGUUGUCACUUCAGCAGUAUGCUUUUAGUGCUACAGAGUAUGCUGUGAAAUUAGAUUAGAUUGAUGAUUAGCAAUUAACUAUAGAACUGUUGGCAGCACCAGUUUAACAUAUGUUGAUUUCAGGCCCAUCUUUAUUUGCUUUCGAGUUAAACUAUGAAUUUGAAAACAAAAAAAUUAUACAUUGUUGAUGCUAAAUUUAUCAGUCCUUUUGUUUUGAUAAUCACCUCCUGCAUAUGUGUUCCUGGGUAGUUUUCGUACUGCCACAACUUUUGUUGUUUUGGCAGGAUAAUGUAUUUUCUUAUGGAAAACACGGAUGAGUAAUUACAUGAUACAUUAUUAAUAUUAAACUAUGUUGUUUCUCUGAAACUAACUUUGUCUUUCAGCUUUGGAAACUGGUGUUCUAACGUUAGUUCCAACAAGAGGGCCACUAUAACCACCAACUGGUUUGAGUUUCGUCGCCGUGCCAACAUUCACGAAGGAGACGUCUAUGCAUUUCGUUUCAGGAUCACUUCAAAGCGCCGCCUGGUUUUCAUCGUGCACCGCCUCUAGAUGCACCAUCGAAGACGCUGCAGCCCCUGUGUCAAUAUAAUCUAGCACUAAGUACUCUUAAUUAUGCUCUAUCCUGUGAUACCCUAUGGUUUGCUUUUGGCCCUGUCACAAGCUUUUCAAGACACUAAAUCUAUCUUGUUGCUUAUGUAAAGUGCACUAUUCUCAGUCAGAUGUUUCAUGUUCAGAUCCAUAAUGCCCUUUCUCUGUAUAUAUAUUUC